rnacentral:rRNA from 1 species
ACGAAGGGGGCUAGCGUUGUUCGGAAUUACUGGGCGUAAAGCGAGCGUAGGUUGCUCGACAAGUCAGUGGUGAAAGCCCAGAGCUCAACUCUGGAACUGCCAUUGAAACUGUCGAGCUGGAAUCUCAGAGGGGAUAGCGGAAUUCCAAAUGUAGGGGUGAAAUCCGUAGAUAUUUGGAGGAACACCGGUGGCGAAGGCGGCUAUCUGGAUGAGUAUUGACACUGAGGCUCGAAAGCGUGGGGAUCAAACAGGA